CAAGAAGGCGUUUAACGAAAUGGGGUUUUAAUAACUGGAAUGUAUGCAAUUAAUAGCUUGUUACAAUGAAAUUUCAAAAGACAACCCUUCAUUUGAGUUAUUUCUACUUGCGUAGUGAAUUAGAAUUUGAUAAGGUGUUCAUAUUUCUUGAUUCUGGAACUUGAAUAUUCAAUGUAGUCACAGCUGAAUCCAAUAUUGACACUCGAUAUCUCAAGAAAAUGCCGAUUUAUCGAAGGUAAUGACGGCAUUAAAAUGACUACUACAAGACCGAUAGGAUAUGUACCAACUUGGCUACAAAUUAAGAUGGGAUAGCCUGAAAGUUCAUUAAUCAUCACACAUUUCCAUUGCCCAAAUGUUUAGUGGGAUACAUGGAUUGAAGCUUCUUCAGAUAAUGUCCCAUGCAUUGCUCUCAAUUUGGAGUUAAAAUCUACAUCCUAUUCCUAAAUGUCCUUAAACUGUCUGAUAUGCGGCAGGAGAUUAAAGUCAUCCACUGUAUCAAGAGCUUCAAGCACUAGUUUCAGGUUUGCUUCUAUAUUCGCAAGAAAUUUGAUUCGUAUAAUUUUGCAACGAAUUUGAUCAAAUAUAAUAUUGAAAGAGGACUACAAUAUCAAUUCUGAAUUUAAUGAAAUAUAAUUUAAUCACUAACUUGUAAGAUGUUUACCAACCAUUUAAUCAUAGCGCAUAACCAUUAAAAAUCUACCUCUUGGAAUAUUUGAAGCUCGAAUUGGAGCAAUAUUUCCUUCCACCGGUUUUGAAGUGACUUGUUAGACGCGUUUGAACUAUAAUAGUUGACAGCUGUUCAGAAGCUUGAUUCGAUUUCUAUAAUACCUUAAAAUAAUCGUUCAGCUUACGUGCUCCUUAGUGGGAUAUGACAGUUCAUCCAGAGCACACAGCAUAUUCUCGUAUUUAGUCGCUUCCUUUUCACUAUAGUAUACACACAAACUUGGAGCUUCUAGGGUUUCCUGCCAGUUGAAUCGAUAUACGAGGAAAGAUUUAUUAAAAAAAAUGAAAGCUUCAUUACAUUAUAUUGCAGCUCUACAAAACAGUUUAUGGUGAGAAAGAAUGAGUUCAUGGAAUUAAUAUAAUUUACUUGGAGAAAGACUUGAUUGAUAAAAUCAAUGAGACUAGUCAUUCUCUAUUUGGAAAAAGCAGUUCUUCGCUUUCUUAGGGAAAUUUCUCCCUUGCAUAAUGCUUUUUCACAAGACAAGUCAGAGGUCCUGGAUGAGUUUAAGAUAUGGUGAGUGGACAACUAGUGAAUGGCCCACUUCUGUCAGUGGCCUGAAUGUUUGAGUAGUCAAUUGAAUUAUGUGGGAAUGGGCCGUGACCGAUUGAAAAGAUAUCUUGUUUAUUCCAUGAUGUAAACUAAGGGAGAGUUUCGGUAUAGUUUGAAUGUUUCUUUCCGUUGAGACAUUGCACUAUUUUUGUAACAGCCGAAGACUAAAUUUGAACAUUUUUAUAGUUGCUUCUUGGAAUUGAACUUGUAAGAGAAUCCUACAGAUGUGUUUUACUUUGCUGAAGAUUCUGCCUGAGUAUCUUUGUGGCUCAUCUGUGCUUAGUUCAUUCUUAUUAACUAGAGAAUGGUUGAGUAAAAUGUUUUGAAUUUCUUGCUCUAUUGGGGUUUUAGAAUCGUGAGGAGCAAUCAAGAAGUCGCCUUUAAGUUGGAAUCUGUCCGUCUGUGUCUUAACAUUGUUGUAUUUUGUACAUUUACAUACAAUACCUAACUCGAACUGAAAGACAAUCCAUUUCGUUCAAUUGGUCAAGCCAUUGGUGGGUGAUUUCUUCAUUUUGGAACUUGCAUUUCUCAAUUUAGAACCCAUUUGCAAAUUUUGGUCUUGUUUGAAGGUUUUGAAUUCGUGCUUUAAUUUCAGAGACGGAACUCGUUUACAUCCGAUUUUCUCGUUUGAAAACUAUGAAUGGUGUCACUCGUACUGAAUCAAAUUUAAAUGGUGAAGCAAGAUUACAGAAUUGUCUUAACACAAUUGAAAGUGGUUAGGUGUUUUAAAAUUCGGAUAUCUUUCAAGAAAGCAUUAUUUGUGACUAAAUUUAUGAGAAUUUCUUUAAUGCCAUAGGCUGUUAAAACUUUAUUUACACCCCUCGAGGUUCAAGGUUUUCCACCCGAGGGCGCUGUAUCCC